GUUAUUGACACCAGGCCAGGUGUUGUCGAAUUCAACUGAGCACGGCCCUUGACGCGAGAGCGACAGACUCGAGAACGUCUCACGUGCACGAGAUCACAAGUGAAGGAUGGCACAAGGGGACAGCACGGGGAGUUCCUUGUCCUGGUGGGGAAAGGACAACAGCUCGUGGGAUUGUCUGCUCUGGGGGCCUGUGGUGAUGCAUUGUGGUGCCACGCAGUGACCUAGCGUCGAGGAAGGCAAAACGUGCUCCACAGGACUCCUAAAAGGCCAUAGAUACUUUGUGAGUGUUGGGGGAGACAUGGGGAGUAGAACGGUGGACGUGUGGUCGAGGGUAAUGUGCGGCCACUCGACGGCAUGCGCACCGACGCCAAGUCUUACACAGCGUUGUGGAUACUUCGAGGGACGCAGCAAGCUAAUCAGAAACAAUGCGUGGUCGCCAUUUCACACGAAUGAGUGUGCUCACAAUAUGACACCUGCCGCUGCUUUGGUUUUGGUGCGUUCAGCUUGCGUACGCUAUCGUUACGCGCGUGUCAACGGCAUUGAGUUAA
rnacentral:lncRNA from 1 species